rnacentral:rRNA from 1 species
CCUACGGGAGGCAGCAGUGGGGAAUUUUGGACAAUGGGCGAAAGCCUGAUCCAGCCAUGCCGCGUGCAGGAUGAAGGCCUUCGGGUUGUAAACUGCUUUUGUACGGAACGAAAAGGUCUUUUCUAAUAAAGAAGGCUCAUGACGGUACCGUAAGAAUAAGCACCGGCUAACUACGUGUCAGCAGCCGCGGUAAUACGUAGGGUGCGAGCGUUAAUCGGAAUUACUGGGCGUAAAGCGUGCGCAGGCGGUUAUAUAAGACAGUUGUGAAAUCCCCGGGCUCAACCUGGGAACUGCAUCUGUGACUGUAUAGCUAGAGUACGGUAGAGGGGGAUGGAAUUCCGCGUGUAGCAGUGAAAUGCGUAGAUAUGCGGAGGAACACCGAUGGCGAAGGCAAUCCCCUGGACCUGUACUGACGCUCAUGCACGAAAGCGUGGGGAGCAAACAGGAUUAGAUACCCUGGUAGUCCACGCCCUAAACGAUGUCAACUGGUUGUUGGGUCUUCACUGACUCAGUAACGAAGCUAACGCGUGAAGUUGACCGCCUGGGGAGUACGGCCGCAAGGUUGAAACGUUACGAAAGUAGUAGGACGGCGUAGAGACGUCGACCGACGGACACCGACGGAGGGUUAGAGG